rnacentral:rRNA from 1 species
GAUCUGGUUGGGUGGUCCGCCUGACGGCGUGUUUACUGCUUGACCGGAUCUUGCCUCUUGGUGAACCGCUGUGUUCUUUAUUGAAUGCUUCGGGGAACCAGGACUUUUACCUUGAGAAAAUUAGAGUGUUCAAAGCAGGCCUAUGCCUGAAUACAUUAGCAUGGAAUAAUAGAAUAGGACGUGUGGUUCUAUUUUGUUGGUUUUUAGAGCUGACGUA